rnacentral:rRNA from 1 species
CCUACGGGUGGCUGCAGUGAGGAAUAUUGGUCAAUGGCCGGAAGGCUGAACCAGCCAAGUCGCGUGAGGGACGAAUGCCCUAUGGGUUGUAAACCUCUUUUAUAAGGGAGGAAUAAAUGCUACGUAUAGCAUGAUGCCUGUACCUUAUGAAUAAGCAUCGGCCAACUCCGUGCCAGCAGCCGCGGUAAUACGGGGGAGGCGAGCGUUAUCCGGAUUUGUAGGGUUAAAGGGGUGCGUAGGCGGAUUUUUAAGUUAGUGGUAAAACGUCGGGGCUACACCUGGAUUUGCCAUUAAUACUGGAAGACUCGAGUUUAGACGAGGUAAGCGGAAUUAGUUAAGUAGCGGUGAAAUGCUUAGAUAU